GAAAAUCUACUCACCCUGGGCAGGAGGCUCUGAAGGGAAGCAACUUGUGCAAGACCCUGGGUGACCACUGCCACCAGCACAGCCCUUGCAGCAGAGGAGAUUCCUUUGGCUCACACGGAGGGCUCUGCAGCAGCAGGGGAGGUAGAGAAGAUCCCGCGUCAAACUUUACAGCUCCAGGAGACAGAAAGCCAGGGAAAAGCCAAAGCAAACAGCAAAGUUUGCAGCAGUUCCUGGAAAGGAAGAUCCAAGGUCUCAUGUUGAAAUAGCUGAGCAGCAAACUCCCAGAGUCCUGAGGCUGUGCCUCCUCCUUUAGCAAGGAGAAACGAAGAUCUUCAUCCUCCUUCCCCCGCAGCCAGGCUCUCUCUGAUACCACCUCGUUAAGCUGCUUUCUUUGUUCUGCCUUCACAGGUGAAGCUGAUAAUGCAUUCCCCCAGGGGAGGGCACGAGGGGCUUGGUGAUCCUCUGCCUUCACAGGUGCAGAUCAUAAAGCACUCCCCCAAAAAAGGGCACCGGGGGCGUGGUGAUCCUCUGCCUUCACAGGUGCAGAGCAUAAUGCACUCCCCCGGGGGGGCACGAGGGGCCUGGUGACCACUGGGAAUGAACUGCUCAGCUAGCCCUGGUUCCAAAGGCAGCUGAGUAUCCUGGGCAGCUGCGCUUGGAGGCAGAGAAGGUUUUCUGCUGUCCUGUUGGACUCACGGCCCAGGGCCAUGUGAUCCCAGCCAUCUGCUGGGAUCUCUGUUCCAUGGGAAUGCAGCUUACAGUGGGCACCAAACUAUGGCUACAGACAACUAUUAGCCAAUACCAGCACAGAUUAACUUCAGCCCUAAGGAGAGGGAUGAAAAGAGACAGAGAGAACCUGAGCUAUGGCUGCUGCUGAUCAACUUCCACCUCAAUCUGGGCUCCUGCCCUCUGUCAGCCUCCAGAUCCUGCCUUCAGAAUCUCUGCACUCUGGCAUCACUCAGAUCCUGCCUUCAGGUUCUCAGCACUCUGGCAUCACUCAGAUCCUCCCUUCAGAAUCUCUGCAGUCUGGCAGCCUUCAGAUCCUGCCUUCAGAAUCUCUGCACUCUGGCAACCUUCAGCUGCUGCCUUUAGGUGGCUUUGUACCAGCUCAUUCUUCAGAAUUCCCUUUUGCUGGCAGCUAGGCAGGGACAGUAGUUAAAGCAAAUGAUAUUUCUCUUGAUGAUGUAUCCACACAUCGAGCCUGGACAGCACUAAAGUGAAACACAGCAGAGAUAAGGACCAAAACAUUCACUUCUGUGAUUAAAUUGGGCACCUACAGCUGGACACCCAGAGAGGAGAGCUCUGUGGUGGCUGAACAUGCUAACACCUCCCAUUCUCAGAGCCCUGCCUUGCUAAUCAAGGUAGCAGCAGCUGUUGCACCAGCAAUGUAGCAACAGAAGGUAGUGUGUGGAGGAAGGAGGUGAUGUGCUUGGGCAGUUGUGUUCUUGCAAGGGUUUUUGGAUGUGGCAGGCACUGAGCUGGCUCUCAGGACCACCAUGUGUCUGCAGCAUCACAGGAAGUGCCUUUGCCUGACCUUUAGCCACGCUCAGAAGAUUCCUUGGCAGCUCUUGUUUGUGCAGCCUCUGAGUCCAUCUCAGGAAUGCUUUGGAGCUUUCCCUUUGGAAGGUUUUGGGGAGAGGUGAGAGGCACAAGCAGGCUGCUAUCACGCACAGCAUUGCCCUCAGACGACCUGUCAGUGGCUUCUUGAACACCCAUUUGAGGUGGUUGAAUCCCCAGCCCUCGAGGUGUUCAAAAAGCACAGAGAUGUGGGGGGAGAGGACGACACACACCACCAAGCACCAGAUUGGGUAGUUAGAUAAUGGUUGGACUCAAUGAUCUCAAAGGUCCUUUCCAACCCAAAUAGUCCUAUGGAUCUA